AGCGAACGCUGGCGGCAGGCCUAACACAUGCAAGUCGAACGAACCCUUCGGGGUUAGUGGCGGACGGGUGAGUGACACGUGGGAACGUGCCUUUAGGUUCGGAAUAACUCAGGGAAACUUGUGCUAAUACCGAAUGUGCCCUUCGGGGGAAAGACUUAUCGCCUUUAGAGCGGCCCGCGUCUGAUUAGCUAGUUGGUGAGGUAAUGGCUCACCAAGGCUACGAUCAGUAGCUGGUCUGAGAGGAUGACCAGCCACAUUGGGACUGAGACACGGCCCAAACUCCUACGGGAGGCAGCAGUGGGGAAUCUUGCGCAAUGGGCGAAAGCCUGACGCAGCCAUGCCGCGUGGAUGAUGAAGGUCUUAGGAUUGUAAAAUCCUUUCACCGGUGAAGAUAAUGACUGUAGCCGGAGAAGAAGCCCCGGCUAACUUCGUGCCAGCAGCCGCAGUAAUAC
rnacentral:rRNA from 1 species